rnacentral:lncRNA from 12 species
AGCAGGCGGGCAGGCCCAAAGGAUCAAAAGUUUUUCCUCAGGGUUCCAGCACAUUCCAGAUUCCCAUGGAAUUUGGAUCCAGGCUCUGCUGCACAGAGUGGGAAUUCCCUGAGCUCUGCUGCUUCUCCAGGAGGGUUUUCCUGGAAAAUCUUUGGGAUUUCCACGUGGGAGCUGCAUGACUGGGACUGGCAUUAAUUCUCCUGUGCUGGCAGAAAAUGUUUAAAUCUGAGUUUUGUGUUCAACUCAGCUUUCAGCCUAAAAAAAAAAAAAAAAAAAAAAGGGGGGGGGGGGGGGGGGGGGGGGGGGGGGGGGGGGGGGGGGGGGGGGGGGGGGGGGGGGGGGGGGGGGGGGGGGGGGGGGGGGGGGAAAAAAAAAAAAAAAAAAAAAAAGAGCAAUUUCAUAAUUUCACAGUUUAGAAUAAAAUCCUCUGCUCUGCUUUCACCCACACGUAGGUGGGGCUCAGUUUCCUUGGCUUUUGCGUGGAAAUUUUGGGAAUUCCAAACAAUUUGACACCAGAUAAAUUUGGGAAUAAAGAAUUUCUGACCCGUGCUGCACCCCCAGAAUCUCAAAUAAAUCCCAGAGCUGUCAACAGACAGCUGAAAAAUUCUGUUUUUUAGCUACAAAAUCUUGCCCUCCCAAUUUUUUUCCUGCAUUUCCCAUUUUCCCCUGCAUUUCCCAUUUUUCCUGCAUGUCCCAUUUUUUCCCCCUGCAUUUCCCAUUUUUUUCUGCAUUUCCCAUUUUUCCUGCAGUUCCCAUUUUCCCCCUGCAUUUCCCAUUUUCCCUGCUCCACGUGGGGCUCUCUGGUCCCUGCCUGGGGCUGGACACUCAUUUUUCCAUCUCUGCUCUCUUUAGCAGGUGGUGCAAUCUCAGAGUUGCUAUGAAGAGCUCUCCCUUCUCUCCCUGUCUCCUUUCCUCUCUUGGCUCCCCAUGGAAUUCCCAGGCAGGACUGGCACAGACUGAAUUCUGGAUUCAGGGAGGGAUUUGGGGAAUGACUCUGGAAGAGGGAGCAGCCUCCGUGCUCCUGCUGCCUCUGCACGGACCAGGCACAGCUGGCACAGCUGGACUGAGCUCCAGCUUCUUGGGAUUUUUGGGGACAAAUCCCCAAAGUGACCUGGGCCCCUUCCCUGCCACUCCUGAGCUUCAUCUCCCAAAAUCUCUCGUCAUUCCCGGAUGGAAGAACUGCCCAGAGUGUGAAUUUGGAUUCCUGGCCGUGUCCUUUUCCUUUUGGGAAUUUGGGAAUUCCCAUCUGGCUGAUCCCAGCCCAGGUUUUCAGGAAUUUCCAGUGGGAUGUGAGGAGCUGUGGCCCCUCUGGAAUCUGCUUUGCUUUUAUCUUGGUUUUUCCCACUCUGCCAGUGGCAGAAGGAGCAGCUUUAGAUAAAAAUCUCAUUUUCCAAUGGUUUUUUUCCCAGCCUGUGAUUCCCAAAACUCUGCUGGAGUUCUCUCCUUUCCAGUGGUUUUGUUCCUUCUCUCCUCCAGGAAUAUCCAAGCUCCUCCUUCACUGGGAGAUAAAUUCAAACCAUUGUUUUUUUCUCUGAACUGAAACAAAACUUUUCUAAAGGGUUUCUAUUUUUUCCCACCUCUGGGUUCAAAAAUGGAAGCUGGCAGCUCAUUCCCAACCUUUUAUUCCUCCAGGAUUUCCUGCAGGAGUAGGAAUGGCACUUUCCCUGUCCAGCAGCCACAGCCUGGCACCUCUUAUCCCACACCAACAUCCUGAUGAAAGGAAGUUUCAUUCCUAAAUCCUUUUUUUCUUUCUUUUUUUUUUUCCCCAGGUGGAAUUAUUGAGAUUAUCAGGAGUUACUUAAAUUUUCUGGGCGUGCAGAUUGAGAAAUGGGGAGAGAGAAAAACAUUUGGAAAUCAGAGGUUUUGAAAUUUUUCAAAACUUGAUGUUUUCAUUCCCAGCUUUGGGGUCACUUGGCUUCAUGUUGGGAAAUUUAUGACCACGAGUGUAAAAUUUGGGUUUUUUUUGUUUGUUUGUUUGUUUUAUGGUUUGUUUUUUUUUUUUUUUUGUUUUUUUUGGGGGGGUUUUUUUUUUUUUUUUGUUAUUUUUGCUUGUGCUGGACCUGACUCCCCAAAAUUUAAAAUGCACAGGCCAAGGUUCUGCAGGUUGGAUUAAAGCAUUGAAUUCACCCCAAACUCAGCAUCCCCUGUACAGUGUAAAUUCCCUGCCUUGGUUCAUUCCCAUCCUUCCUUUAUUUCCUGCUUUAUUCUCAUCUUUAUUUUAUUUCCUGGGUUUAUUCCCAUUCUUAUUUUAUUUCCUGGUUUGUUUCCAUCCUUCUUUCCUGCUUUAUUUCCUUCCUUAUUUUAUUUCCUGGUAAUUCUCAUCUUUAUUUUAUUUCUCUGUUUGUUUCCAUCUUUAUUUUCUUUCCUAUUUUAUUCCCAUCCUUAUUUUUUUUCCUGUUUUAUUCCCAUCCUUAUUUUAUUUUAUUUCCUGAUUAUUCCCAUCCUUAUUUUAUUUUAUUUCCUGGUUAUUCCCAUCAUUUUAUUUCCUGCUUUAUUCCCAUCUUUAUUUUAUUUCCUGCUUUGUCCCCAUCCUUAUUUUAUUUCCCCAUUUAUUCCCAUCCUUAUUUUAUUCCCUGGAUUUGUACAAUAUUGGAUCAGCUCCCGCAGUGGUGAUGGUUCUGUGUUUGUAAAUAAAGUGGUACCUUCCAUUUCCUAAAAUCCACGGGUAAAUCUUGGCUUUUCCAUGGAAAGUUGGGGGUUUCUGUCCUGCUGGAAUUCAGGAAUCCUUCAAACACGCCGUGUUUGGGGAUUUUAGAGUAAUUUUUGUUGGUUUUAUUGAAGGGAGAGGAGUAAAUCUGGAGUAAUACCAAACCCUGAGUGCUCUGGGAAUGGAAUUCCUGGAGAGUUUGUGGCUGCCCCAUCCCUGGAAGUGUCCCAGGCCGGGCUGGAUGGGGUUUGGAGCACCUGGGAUGGUGGAAUGGGUGGGAUUUAAAUCCCAAACCUGUCUGGAAUUCCCAAAUCCCUGAGUGCACUGGGAGCCAGGCUGGGAAUGGGGAGCUGAAAAAGGGAAGGGCAACUCCAGGGGGAUUUGGGAUGGAAAUUCCUACUGGAGUCUGGGAAUUCUUCAGUUCAGUUUAAGGAGCAGCUCCAGGGGGAUUGGGGAUGGAAAAUCCUCCUGGAGUCUGG